CUGUUGCUUCGGCGGGCCCGCCUUCGGGCGGCCCGGGGCCUGCCCCCGGGACCGCGCCCGCCGGAGACCCCAAUGGAACACUGUCUGAAAGCGUGCAGUCUGAGUCGAUUGAUACCAAUCAGUCAAAACUUUCAACAAUGGAUCUCUUGGUUCCGGCAUCGAUGAAGAACGCAGCGAAAUGCGAUAACUAAUGUGAAUUGCAGAAUUCAGUGAAUCAUCGAGUCUUUGAACGCACAUUGCGCCCCCUGGUAUUCCGGGGGGCAUGCCUGUCCGAGCGUCAUUUCUCCCCUCCAGCCCCGCUGGUUGUUGGGCCGCGCCCCCCCGGGGGCGGGCCUCGAGAGAAACGGCGGCACCGUCCGGUCCUCGAGCGUAUGGGGCUCUGUCACCCGCUCUAUGGGCCCGGCCGGGGCUUGCCUCGACCCCCAAUCUUCUCAGAUUGACCUCGGAUCAGGUA
rnacentral:rRNA from 1 species